rnacentral:rRNA from 1 species
AGUGAACGCUGGCGGUAGGCCUAACACAUGCAAGUCGAACGGCAGCACAGUAAGAGCUUGCUCUUACGGGUGGCGAGUGGCGGACGGGUGAGGAAUACAUCGGAAUCUACUUUUUCGUGGGGGAUAACGUAGGGAAACUUACGCUAAUACCGCAUACGACCUACGGGUGAAAGCAGGGGAUCUUCGGACCUUGCGCGAUUGAAUGAGCCGAUGUCGGAUUAGCUAGUUGGCGGGGUAAGGGCCCACCAAGGCGACGAUCCGUAGCUGGUCUGAGAGGAUGAUCAGCCACACUGGAACUGAGACACGGUCCAGACUACUACGGGAGGCAGCAGUGGGGAAUAUUGGACAAUGGGCGCAAGCCUGAUCCAGCCAUACCGCGUGGGUGAAGAAGGCCUUCGGGUUGUAAAGCCCUUUUGUUGGGAAAGAAAAGCAGCAGGUUAAUACCCCGCUGUUCUGACGGUACCCAAAGAAUAAGCACCGGCUAACUUCGUG